UACGUAGGGGGCAAGCGUUGUCCGGAUUUAUUGGGCGUAAAGAGCGUGUAGGCGGCUGGGUAGGUCCGCUGUGAAAACUCGAGGCUUAACCUCGAGACGUCGGUGGAAACCAUCCAGCUAGAGUCCGGAAGAGGAGAGUGGAAUUCCUGGUGUAGCGGUGAAAUGCGUAGAUAUCAGGAGGAACACCUGCGGUGUAGACGGCUUACUGGACGGUAACUGACGCUGAGGCACGAAAGCGUGGGUAGCAAACAGG
rnacentral:rRNA from 1 species